rnacentral:rRNA from 1 species
UACAGAGGUCUCAAGCGUUGUUCGGAUUCAUUGGGCGUAAAGGGUGUGUAGGUGGCGCCGUAAGUCGGGUGUGAAAUUUUAGAGCUUAACUCUGAAACUGCAUUCGAUACUGCGGUGCUUGAGGACUGGAGAGGAGACUGGAAUUUACGGUGUAGCAGUGAAAUGCGUAGAUAUCGUAAGGAAGACCAGUGGCGAAGGCGGGUCUCUGGACAGUUCCUGACACUGAGACACGAAGGCCAGGGGAGCAAACGGG